GACGAACGCUGGCGGCGUGCUUAACACAUGCAAGUCGAGCGGUAAGGCCCUUUCGGGGGUACACGAGCGGCGAACGGGUGAGUAACACGUGGGUGACCUGCCCUCAGCUCUGGGAUAAGCCUGGGAAACCGGGUCUAAUACUGGAUACGACUCCAUGACGCAUGUUGUGGGGUGGAAAGCCUUGUGCGGCUGAGGAUGGGCCCGCGGCCUAUCAGCUUGUUGGUGGGGUGAUGGCCUACCAAGGCGACGACGGGUAGCCGGCCUGAGAGGGCGACCGGCCACACUGGGACUGAGACACGGCCCAGACUCCUACGGGAGGCAGCAGUGGGGAAUCUUGCGCAGUGGGCGAAAGCCUGACGCAGCGACGCCGCGUGA
rnacentral:rRNA from 1 species